CCUACGGGUGGCAGCAGUGGGGAAUAUUGGACAAUGGGGGAAACCCUGAUCCAGCAACGCCGCGUGAAUGAAGAAGGCCUUCGGGUUGUAAAGUUCUUUAGUCCUAGAGCAAAUACAGUCGGGUAAUAUACGACUGGGAUGAGAGUAUAGGAAGAAUAAGCACCGGCAAACUACGUGCCAGCAGCCGCGGUAAUACGUAGGGUGCAAGCGUUAAUCGGAAUAACUGGGCGUAAAGGGUGAGUAGGCUGAUAUACAAGUUAGAUGAGAAAUACCAGAGCUUAACUUUGGGAUAUCGUGUAAUACUGUAUGUCUAGAGUUAGUGAGAGGAUGGGGGAAUUCCGAGUGUAGCAGUGAAAUGCGUAGAGAUUCGGAGGAACAUCAGUGGCGAAGGCGCCCAUCUGGCAUAUAACUGACGCUGAAUCACGAAAGCGUGGGUAGCAAACAGGAUUAGAUACCCUUGUAGUC
rnacentral:rRNA from 1 species